rnacentral:miRNA from 12 species
GGGGGGGGGGGGGGGGGGGGGGGGGGGGGGGGGGGGGGGGGGGGGCCAGGAGCCGGUGCUGGCCCUGGCCCUGUCCCCACUG